GCGAACGCUGGCGGCAUGCUUAACACAUGCAAGUCGCACGGUCAGCAAUGGCAGUGGCGGACGGGUGAGUAACGCGUAGGUAUCUAUCCUCGGGUGGGGGGACAACCACGGGAAACUGUGGCUAAUACCGCAUGAUGACUGAGGUCUAAAGGCGCAAGUCGCCUGAGGAGGAGCCUGCGUCCGAUUAGGUAGUUGGUGGGGUAAAGGCCUACCAAGCCUGCGAUCAGUAGCUGGUCUGAGAGGAUGAUCAGCCACAUUGGGACUGAGACACGGCCCAAACUCCUACGGGAGGCAGCAGUGGGGAAUAUUGGACAAUGGGCGAAAGCCUGAUCCAGCAAUGCCGCGUGUGUGAAGAAGGUCUUCGGAUUGUAAAGCACUUUGGCAGGGACGAUGAUGACGGUACCUGCAGAAUAAGCCCCGGCUAACUUCGUG
rnacentral:rRNA from 1 species